rnacentral:lncRNA from 1 species
GCACUUGCCUUGUGCCAGGCACCUUUCUAACCACUUUGCACAAAUUAUCUCCCUUGAUCCUCCCAACAGCUGAAUGCCAUAGGGACUGGUGUUCUACCUCGUGGAACUGCUGGAAGAAUCAGAUGAGAUACUGUGUGUCAUUAGCGUCUUCGUCUUACAGCUGAGGAAUCUGGGGCACAUAGAAGCCUCCGGCGAGAGACCGUGCUGUGUCCACCUGUCAUCUGAGACUGGUGAGUUUCUUAUUUAGAUUCAGACUUGUUCAAUCUGUUAGAAGUCAACUUUAUGUAAGGCAUGAUUUUAAAGAAGCUCACAGAAAAACUGGCUGCACAGAUUUAGGAAUAAUUCUGGAUAGUUGACAAGUUUAGCAUUGUUAAAAGGAGUAUGCAAG